rnacentral:rRNA from 1 species
UCCCAGACUCCUACGGGAGGCAGCAGUGGGGAAUAUUGCACAAUGGGGGAAACCCUGAUGCAGCGAUGCCGCGUGAGUGAGGAAGUAUUUCGGUAUGUAAAGCUCUAUCAGCAGGGAAGAAAAUGACGGUACCUGACUAAGAAGCCCCGGCUAACUACGUGCCAGCAGCCGCGGUAAUACGUAGGGGGCAAGCGUUAUCCGGAUUUACUGGGUGUAAAGGGGGCGCAGACGGCGAUGCAAGCCAGGAGUGAAAGCCCGGGGCCCAACCCCGGGACUGCUCUUGGAACUGCGUGGCUGGAGUGCAGGAGGGGCAGGCGGAAUUCCUGGUGUAGCGGUGAAAUGCGUAGAUAUCAGGAGGAACACCGGUGGCGAAGGCGGCCUGCUGGACUGCAACUGACGUUGAGGCCCGAAAGCGUGGGGAGCGAACAGGAUUAGAUACCCGUGUA